rnacentral:rRNA from 1 species
CAGUCGCGCGGGAAAACGUAGGGUGCAAGCGUUAAUCGGAAUUACUGGGCGUAAAGCGUGCGCAGGCGGUUAUAUAAGACAGAUGUGAAAUCCCCGGGCUCAACCUGGGAACUGCAUUUGUGACUGUAUAGCUAGAGUACGGCAGAGGGGGAUGGAAUUCCGCGUGUAGCAGUGAAAUGCGUAGAUAUGCGGAGGAACACCGAUGGCGAAGGCAAUCCCCUGGGCCUGUACUGACGCUCAUGCACGAAAGCGUGGGGAGCAAACAGGAUUAGAUACCCGUGUAGUCCCUGUCUCUUAUACA